GUCCCAGUCCGACCCGCGCGCUGCGCCCCUGCUGAGCGGCGCAGAGCUACCGCGCCCUGCCGGACUCGCCCCUUGGUCCAUGUCUGACGAACUCUAGGCAACCUGCCCUCGUUCGGGACACAAACAUCGGUCUCACCCCUCAGUUUCUGCCAGAGAAAAAGGAAAAGUCACCAAGAGGCCUGACCCUGACGGGUGGGGGGAGAUGCGCGUACGGAGUAGCGGGAAGCGACUGAGGAACUGGGACUGGGCAGCAUUUGACUGGAUGCGGGUGCCGCUGGCACCCGGGAAGACGCCCGGGGGCCGGCGCUGGGGAGCCGGGCAUGGGCUGGGAUGUGUUUGAAUUCCAAUCCGGGCCUGACACCAGUUCAGUGACCUCGGGAAGUUCCCCAACCUUCCGGGCCUGUUUCCUCCCUCAAGUGGCGACAGUAAUAGAACCGACCUCGUAGGCUCAUCCGGAGGUCCUGAUGGGAGAACUCAUGCAACUUGCCACCACAGAGCCAGGCCCGCGGCGGCUGGCGCCUGGUGGGUAUUAAAGACGAGUCGGGAAAGAAGAGCAGGUUGAUAGACUGGAUGCUGCUAUGGUAAUCUGCCUCAGGAAAAUGCCGGACUGUUGUUUGCAAGCUGGUUAAGUGAGCAAAUCUUGGGAAGAUUUCAAGAGUCUUACUGUGUCGCCCAGGCUGGAGUAGAGUGGCGCGAUCUCAGCUCACUGCAGCUACCGCCUCCCGGGUUCAAGCGAUUCUUGUACCUCAGCCUCCUGAGUAGUUAGGACUACAGGCGACCGCCACAACGCCCGGCUAAUUUUUGUUGUAUUUUUAGUAGAGAUAGGGUUUCGCCAUGUUGCCCAGGCUGGUCUUGAACUCCUGACCUCAAGUGAUCUGCCCACCUCGGCCUCCCAAAGCAUUGGGAUUACAGGUGUGAGCCACCGUGCCUGGCCACAAUUGCCUUUUUUAACCUUGAUGUUGGCUUUUUUUUUUUUUUUUUGAGAUGGAGUCUUACUCUGUUGCCUGGGCUGGAAUGCAGUGGUGCAAUCUUGGCUCACUGCAACCUCGCCUCCUGGGUUUAAAUGAUUCUCCUACCUCAGCCCUCCAGAGUAGCUGGGAUUACAGGGGCCCACCACCACACCUGACUAACUUUUUUUGUAUUUUUAAUAGAGACGGGGUUUCACCAUGUUGCCCAGGCUGGUCUUGAACUCCUAGCCUCAAGUGAUCUGCCCGCCUCAGCCUUCCAAAGUGCUGGGAGUACAGGCAUGAGCCACCGCGCUGGGCCAGAUGUUGGUUUCUUAAGCAAAAACAGAAUCAGGAUAUCCCAGGAAGUCAACAGACAUCUACCUGGUGGCCUCCUAGAUGAAAAUGCUCUCCUUCAACUUACCAGAACAACCAACACAGAAGAGUUCUGUGACCAAUUUGUGGGGGGUUUUCCCCACAAACCCAGCAGGCAAGUGAUUCUGUAACAGACACCAGCUGAAUGUGGAUGUCCUGUAAUUUAAUUCAAUUCUGACACUACCUGGAGAUACCCUCAGAUACCACAGUUGAGGACUGCCUUUCAGAUUUAAACCUCAGUUCCUAAGACUGCCCCCCAACUUCUGAGGCCAAUUGCAAGUUACAGGUUGUUUUACCUGUGCUUCCGACUGAUCAGCUAUAAAUCAGAGACUCCAUGACCCCCUCCUUGAAUUCGAUUAAUUUACUAGAACAGCUCACAGAACUCAGGGAAACAUUUACAUAUGCUUACUGGUUUAUUAUAAAGGAUAUUAUAGUCUGGGCGCUGUGGCUGAAGCCUAUAAUCCCAGCACUUCGGGAGGCUGGGGCAGGUGGAUCGCUGGAGGUCAGCAGUUCGAGACCAGCCUGGCCAACAUGGUGAAACCCCAUCUCUACUAAAAAUACAAAAAUUAGGCUUGGUGGCUCAUGCCUGUAGUCCCAGCUACUUGGGAGACUGAGGCAGGAGAAUCACUUGAACCCAGGAGGCAGAGGUUGCAGUGAGCUGAGAUUGUGCCACUGUACUUCAGCCUGGGCGACAGAGUGAGACUCUUGUCUAAAAAAAAAAAAAAAAAGGAUAUUACAAAGGAUACAGAUGAAGAGAUGAAGAGAUGCAUAGGACGAGGUACAGGAAAGGACACGGAACUUGCAUGCCCUCCGUAGGCUUGCCACCCUCUGGGAACCUUCAUGUGUUCAGCUAUCUAGAAGUUCUACAAACUCAGUUCUUUGGGGGUUUUAUGGAAACUCCAUUAUGCAAGCAUGAUUGAUUACACCUUUGGCCAUGGUGAGCAACUUAACUUUCAGCCCCUCUUCCCUCCCUGGAAGCUGGGGGCUGGGGCUUAAAGUCCCACCCCUCUAAUUAUGCCUUGAUCUUUCUGAUGACCAGCCCCUCGCCACCAGUCAUCUCACUAGCAUACAAAACCCAUCACUUUGGAAACUGUAAGGCUUUUUUAGAAGUUGUAGGUCAAGAAAUGGGGUUGAAAACCAAAUAUAUUUAUUAUAAUAUCACACUCCUUUUUUAUAGCUCUCACUAGAUGUCAGGUAUUGUGCUAAGCACUGAUAAACUUGCCCAAAGUCAAACACUUGGCAAGUGGUAGAACCAGGAGUUGAACCAGGCCAAAGCUUAUGUAUUUGACGAGUGGGCUAAACUGUCUCUGAUGGGUUAACAAAUACAGCGAAACUUGCAGUUCCAAAGUGUUUUGUGCCUUUUAAAUGAAUAGAUUUGGAAGAAUAUAUAUUUAUUCCUAAGUUUACUUGAAGCUUUUCUUUUGGAAUUACCUGAGAAAUCCUUGAUAUAUUUUUUGAACAUCCUUAACAAGAGCAAAUUUUUGUUCUUUAAGAUUUGAUCUUCUUAAUAACCAAAACUUGCUUAGUGACAAGCACAGUAAAUAAGGUGGAAAGUCACAAUAGAUAUUUUAGUCCAUUUUUUGUUGCUAUAACUGAAUAUCUGAGACUUGAGAAUUCAUGAAGGACAGAGGUUUAUUUUUUACAGUCUGGAGGCUGAGCAAUCCAAGAGCAUGGUGCCAACAUUCAGUGAGGCAUCUUGGCAUCAUAGCAUGGCGGAGGGCGUCAAUCACAUGGUGAGAGGGCAAGAGCAUGCAUGUCAGCUCAGGCCUCUUUUCCUCUUCUUCUUUUUCUUUUUUUCUUUUUUUUUUUUUUUAUCUUUUUGAGACAGUGUCUCACUCUGUCGCCCAGGCUGGAGUGCAGUGGCACGAUCUUAGCUCAUUGUAACCUCCACCUCCCGGGUUCAAGCAAUUCUCCUGCCUCAGCCUCCCGAGUAGCUGGGAUUACAGGCAUGCACCACCACGCCCGGCUAAUUUUGUUUUUUUUUUUUUUUUUUUGAGACGGAGUCUCGCUCUGUGGCCAGCCUGGAGUGCAGUGGCACGAUCUCAGCUCACCCGCAACCUCUGCCUCCUGGGUUCAAGCGAUUCUCCUGCUUCAGCCUUCCGAGUAGCUGGGAUUACAGGCAUGCGCCACAGUGCCUGGCUAAUUUUGUAUUUUUAGUAGAGAUGGGGUUUCUCCAUGUUAGGCUGAUCUUGAACUCCUGAUCUCAAGUGAUCCGCCCGCCUCGGCCUCCCAAAGUGCUGGGAUUACUGGCGUGAGCCACUGUGCCCGGCCAUUUUUUGGUAUUUUUAGUAGAGAUGGGGUUUCACCAUACUGGCCAGGCUGGUCUGGAACUCCUGACCUUAUUCUUUUUUUUUUUUUUUUUUUUUGAGACAAAGUCUUGCUCUGUCGCCCAGGCCGGAGUGCAGUGGCGCGAUCUCGGCUCACUGCAAACUCCGCCUGCCGGGUUCACGCCAUUUUCCUGCCUCAGCCUCCCGAGUAGCUGGGACCACAGGCACCCGCCAACACGCCCGGCUAAUUUUUUUGUAUUUUUUAGUAGAGACGGGGUUUCACCAUGUUAGCCAGGAUGGAUCUCCUGACCUCGCGAUCCACCUGCCUCAGCCUCCCAAAGUGCUGGGAUUACAGACGUGAGCCACCGCGCCCGGCCUGGAACUCCUGCCUUUAUAAUCCGCCUGCCUUGCCUCCCAAAGUGCUGAGAUUACAGGCGUGAGCCACCACGCCUGGCCCUCUUCGUCUUCUUUUAAAGCCACCCACCAGUCAUAUCAUGGAGGCCCCACCCUGAUGACUUACCUAUUAUCUAAUCCUGAUUACAUCCCAAAGGCCCCACUUCUAAUCAACAUAUGCAUUGGGGAUUAAAGUUUGCAAUACAUAAAAUUUGGGAGACACAUUCAAAUCAUAGCAAUAGGAAAUACCAUCUUUGGUGGAAAAACAUGUGGCUUAGAAAGCAAGUCUAUGGUUUUAAUGGAAGUAGCAAAAUACUUUAUCAUCACAAAGCAGUAUCUAUUGUUGCUGACUUUACUUUCCCAUCACAUUAGCCUUGUAUUAGAUGAAGUAAAGAAAUAUGAGUUUUUCUUAGUAAGUUAGGUUAACCAGAAAUGCAUUAAAUUGUUGUAAGUAAAAAUUAAUUAAUGGAUUAAUAUAAACAUAAAGAAAAGUUUCCAAUUUGUCCUUUUAAUAAUUCUGUAACUGACAUGAAUGAAGUCCUAGAAAGUGUGUUCGUCAAACCUAGGAAUCAAAGUUGGGAAUAGGUGAUUUUAAAAAAACAGAGAGAGUUUGAAAACUAAGUUUAACAAAGUUAAAUGUAAGAUCCUGCACUUCAAACUAAGAAAAAAUAACUGCACAAGUACAAGAUAAGGAAUAUAGCCUAACAGAAGUACAUGAGAAAAAUGCUUCUAAGUUUUAGUAGAUAAGAACUUAAUCGACAUAAAUGACUUCCAAGAAAAAUAUUAAGAUAUUAGGCUGAAUUAAAGGAAGCAUAGACUCUAGAACAAAAGAGGGGACGCAUCCACUCUACUCUGCUGGUUAUUUCUAGAAACUACAAUUUAAGAGGAAUAUGGUCAAAUAAAAAUGUAUUCAGAAGAGAGUAAUCACAAUUAUAAAAGAAUAUGAGAAAUGUUGAAUAGGGAGAAGAUGUGUUGCUUGAAGAUUAAAAAAAAAAAUACUGCUGGUAGGGAUGGCAUUGGCAGGGCACUGUGGCUUCACAUGGUUAAUCCCAGUACUUUGGGAGGCCAAGGUAGGAGGAUCCCUUGAAACCAGCCUGAGCAACAUAGCAAGACCUCGUCUCUACGUCUCUACAUUUUUUUUUAAGUUUCUUUAAAUUGGGUGACGUGAUAGAUUUCUUUUUUUUUUUGAGAUGGAGUCUCACUCUGUCACCCAGGCUGGAGUGCAGUGGCAGGAUCUCUGCUCACUGAAACCUCCGCCUCCUGGGUUCAAGCAAUUCUCUGCCUCAGCCUCCCGAGUAGCUGGGAGUACAGGCACCCGCCACCACGCCCAGCUAAUUUUUGUAUUUUUCGUAGAGACGGGGUUUCACCAUCUUGGCCAGGCUGGUCUUGAACUCCUGACCUCGUAAUCCACCCGCCUUGGUCUCCCAAAGUGUUGGGAUUAAUUAUCUGGGCUAAAUAGCUGC